UUUUGACCACCAGAGUAACUAGGGCCUAAAGGCAAUAGCUUGACCUACAGGAGGGGCUGGAGCCAAAAGAUCAGCCAUGUGGGCAGUAUGUGGUUGAGCCCCAUGAAAACUCUGGACCCCAAAGGCUUGACUGAGCCUCCCUGGUUGGUAAUUCUCUGUGCAUUGCCACACAUUAUGGCCUGGAGGUGGUGAUGCUGUGCAUGCCCCCACAGGACAAGGAUGACCAGAAGCUCUGUGUGUGGACUGCUCCCAGACUCCGCCAUAUUUUAACCUGUAUCCUGUCCCUGUGUGCUCUGCUUGAGCAUAACAGCUGUCAGUGAUUUCUGUUGUGAAGAUAAUAUGGCUGCCAGAAGUCUGGAUGUUCAUCCUUCCAUGUUUAAAACCAGCGAAAAAUCACAUGCCUGUCUAAGGGGAGGCAGAAUUAUCCAAGCGCCACCUCAUUGCAUCAUGUGCUUGCUCUUCCCUCAGCUAAUGCCUGAGGCCAGGGGCCGGGCAGGAUCCACCUCCCCCUCAUUCCUGGGGCCAGGAGGAGAGUCAGGUGCCCACCUAAUCCUAACCUUGCCCAUAGCUGAGGAUUGUUCCAUUCUGGAAACACUGGUGGAACUCAUGGUGCCAGACACCAGGCCUAGUGCUAGAAGCACAAAGCUGGACAAGACAUGGUCCCUACUUUCAGAAGCUCAGAGUCGUGUAAAUCUUACCAUUUGUCUGCCAGAGAUUGAUGGGUACUUAACUGUUUACAACCGUGAUGAGAACAGAGAGUGGAAAAUACAUAUCAGUAAUUAUUAACCAAUGGCAAUUGCAGCAAAGAGAAGCUGAUUCUUACAAUUGGUGUGGGAUGUGUACUUUGAGUAAUGAGGCUAAUACUCAGAGAUGGCGUCCACAGAACACCAAGACACCUGGCCGAUUUGAUCAUUUGAAUCAAGAAAAUAUUCAGACUCAAUGAUUUUGAUGCUCUGUCAUGUAUAUUCACAUUUGUCAACUGAAAUAAAGUUCAACUUGAGAAAUAAA
rnacentral:lncRNA from 1 species